AGAAUUCGCCGGGACGAACCUCCUCCCUCGUCCCCGCGAUACGGCGCAAAGCGAACCUCCUCCCUCGCUGAGCGCCCUCAAAAGAAACGCCCGUCGACCUCCUCCCCGACGGGCGUUUUCU
rnacentral:sRNA from 1 species